rnacentral:rRNA from 1 species
UACGAAGGGGGCUAGCGUUGCUCGGAAUGACUGGGCGUAAAGGGCGCGUAGGCGGAUGGCUUUGUCGGGCGUGAAAUUCCAGGGCUUAACCUUGGGGCUGCGUUCGAGACGGGUUGUCUUGAGUGGGGAAGAGGGUCGUGGAAUUCCCAGUGUAGAGGUGAAAUUCGUAGAUAUUGGGAAGAACACCGGUGGCGAAGGCGGCGACCUGGUCCAUUACUGACGCUGAGGCGCGAAAGCGUGGGGAGCAAACAGG